AAAGUCGUAACAAGGUUUCCGUAGGUGAACCUGCGGAAGGAUCAUUACAAAUCGGAUGGAUUUGGAGGUUUAGGUGGUGUUGUUUGGUUGAUUGAUUGAUUGAGGUUGAUUGAACAUUGAAGAGUGCCAUCUAAACACAAUCCAACACAUUUACGCUUGUUGUGUUUGACUGAGUUAUAUAUAAUACAUUUUUAUAAAGACAACUUUUAACAAUGGAUCUCUUGGCUCUU
rnacentral:misc_RNA from 1 species